AUUGAACGCUGGCGGCAGGCUUAACACAUGCAAGUCGAGCGGAGAUGAGGUGCUUGCACCUUAUCUUAGCGGCGGACGGGUGAGUAAUGCUUAGGAAUCUGCCUAUUAGUGGGGGACAACAUUCCGAAAGGAAUGCUAAUACCGCACACGUCCUACGGGAGAAAGCAGGGGAUCUUCGGACCUUGCGCUAAUAGAUGAGCCUAAGUCGGAUUAGCUAGUUGGUGGGGUAAAGGCCUACCAAGGCGACGAUCUGUAGCGGGUCUGAGAGGAUGAUCCGCCACACUGGGACUGAGACACGGCCCAGACUCCUACGGGAGGCAGCAGUGGGGAAUAUUGGACAAUGGGGGGAGCCCUGAUCCAGCCAUGCCGCGUGUGUGAAGAAGGCCUUAUGGUUGUAAAGCACUUUAAGCGAGGAGGAGGCUACUGAGACUAAUACUCUUGGAUAGUGGACGUUACUCGCAGAAUAAGCACCGGCUAACUCUGUGCCAGCCGCCGCAGUAAUAC
rnacentral:rRNA from 1 species